AAAAGAAGCACAAGAAAGCCAAGCACCCACCUGGUACUGGAUAUGCUACUGCCAAAGUGCAAACUACCAGAGCAUCUGAAGUGCCAGCUCCACUUACCCAAAAUGAUGCUCAUCAUUUUGACUGUCAAAAGCAAAUAUGACAAUUCAGAAUUCUAAAGUUUUACCAUAUAUUCAUAUAGCUAGCUAGCCUCCUUGCUUGAUUAUAAUUUGGCAUCUGCACCACAGGUUUUUUUGAGAUUGAAAGAGAGAGAAAUGGAGGGUUUAGCGAGGAAGGGAAUCAUAGGGUUAAUGUUAGUAAUGGUAGUGAUGAUCACCAUGGAAGGUGCAGCAAGCAAUUUACAUAAGGUGGGCGCAAGAGGAUGGAUCCCUAACUAUAACUACACUGAAUGGUUGAAUCAACAGCAUGAGCAUUUCUAUGUGGGUGAUUGGCUCUAUUUUGUGUUUGACAAGCAUUACUUCAAUGUGCUGGAGGUGAACAAGACAAGCUACGAAAGCUGCAACGAUCAAGGCUUCAUAAGGAACAUUACCCGCGGUGGCCGGGAUGUGGUUGAACUCACCGAGGCAAGGCUAUAUUACUUCCUAAGCAGUGGGGGCUAUUGCUGGAAUGGAAUGAAAAUUGCCAUCUCUGUCGAACAACUUCCACCCACCCCAGCUCCUGCUCCGGCCAAAAGUGGCAGCUCUCUGACUCUGUCUUCAACUACUGCCAGCCUGAUGAUUCUCUCCGCCGCUUUUUAUGUUGCUUUAAUUUAGUCUGGACCAGUUUCUUCAUACCAUAGUAGACAGUACAUUGCCAUUCUGUAGGUUCUUGGGUAUUCCAAUUGAUCUUUUUCUUUUUCUUUAGCCUUUGGCCUUCUUUUCUGAAAGAGGGUUUCAUCUUUACCAUUUAAACAAAAAUAGUUUCCUUCUCUCUCGUAUGGUUAGCAUUUGACGGUUGUGAUUUUAUUUUAUUGUAAUUUUUUUUUUAAGAAUUAACAGUUAUGAUGUUGUGUAUGAUUGUUAUAAUUACACUAAACUAGACCGUGUAUAAUUACUUAAUUUCGCAAG
rnacentral:misc_RNA from 1 species